rnacentral:lncRNA from 1 species
GGGACCAUGUGGAGGGCGAGGGGAGCUCCUUGACUGCGUCCCCGCCCGCGGAGAGGGAGGAAGGUCGCCCCAAUAACCCACAGAAUGCUAAUGGAAGAAGGCUUCGGAGGAGCCAAAGAAUAAGGGCUAGGGGCCGGGCGGCGAGGUCCGGGCGAAUUUGAGAGCUUUUCAAUCUAUUGAUGCAGGACUGAAGGGCAAAUAUAAUAAGAGCUUCAUAUACCAUAAGUUCUUUGCCUGUCUUAUUGUGCUUGUACAUGAGUAACGAUUGGAACUUAUGUCUCUCAUGGAUGAUGAAUGCAAGCACAUGCGUAUCCUUAUAAUAUCCCUUGGGUUUAUCUAUCUAUAUAUAUAU